rnacentral:rRNA from 1 species
UAAAAUGAGAGUUUGAUCCUGGCUCAGGACGAACGCUGGCGGCGUGCCUAAUACAUGCAAGUCGAACGAAACUUUCUUACACCGAAUGCUUGCAUUCACCGUAAGAAGUUGAGUGGCGGACGGGUGAGUAACACGUGGGUAACCUGCCUAAAAGAAGGGGAUAACACUUGGAAACAGGUGCUAAUACCGUAUAUCUCUAAGGAUCGCAUGAUCCUUAGAUGAAAGA